rnacentral:rRNA from 1 species
UUGAACGCUGGCGGCAGGCCUAACACCUGCAAGUCGAACGGUAACAGGAAACAGCUUGCUGUUUCGCUGACGAGUGGCGGACGGGUGAGUAAUGUCUGGGAAACUGCCUGAUGGAGGGGGAUAACUACUGGAAACGGUAGCUAAUACCGCAUAACGUCGCAAGACCAAAGAGGGGGACCUUCGGGCCUCUUGCCAUCGGAUGUGCCCAGAUGGGAUUAGCUAGUAGGUGGGGUAACGGCUCACCUAGGCGACGAUCCCUAGCUGGUCUGAGAGGAUGACCAGCCACACUGGAACUGAGACACGGUCCAGACUCCUACGGGAGGCAGCAGUGGGGAAUAUUGCACAAUGGGCGCAAGCCUGAUGCAGCCAUGCCGCGUGUAUGAAGAAGGCCUUCGGGUUGUAAAGUACUUUCAGCGGGGAUGAAGGGAGUAAAGUUAAUACCUUGGCUCAUUGACGUUACCCGCAGAAGAAGCACCGGCUAACUCCGUG